UACGUAGGGUGCAAGCGUUAAUCGGAAUUACUGGGCGUAAAGCGUGCGCAGGCGGUUAUGUAAGACAGAUGUGAAAUGCCCGGGCUUAACCUGGGAACUGCAUUUGUGACUGCAUGGCUAGAGUUUGGCAGAGGGGGUAGAAUUCCACGUGUAGCAGUGAAAUGCGUAGAUAUGCGGAGGAACACCGAUGGCGAAGGCAGCCCCCUGGGUCGACACUGACGCUCAGGCACGAAAGCGUGGGGAGCAAACAGG
rnacentral:rRNA from 1 species